rnacentral:rRNA from 1 species
GAUGAACGCUGGCGGCGUGCCUAACACAUGCAAGUCGAGCGAGGGUUUGCUCAGUAUUGAGUAUUCCAAGUCUAGAAUGUUCAAUUCUGAGCAAAACCAAGCGGCGGACGGGUGAGUAACGCGUGGGUAACCUGCCCUAUACACAUGGAUAACAUACUGAAAAGUUUACUAAUACAUGAUAAUAUAUAUUUGCGGCAUCGCAGAUAUAUCAAAGUGUUAGCGGUAUAGGAUGGACCCGCGUCUGAUUAGCUAGUUGGUGAGAUAACUGCCCACCAAGGCGACGAUCAGUAGCCGACCUGAGAGGGUGAUCGGCCACAUUGGAACUGAGACACGGUCCAAACUCCUACGGGAGGCAGCAGUGGGGAAUAUUGCACAAUGGGCGAAAGCCUGAUGCAGCAACGCCGCGUGAACGAUGAAGGUCUUCGGAUCGUAAAGUUCUGUUGCAGGGGAAGAUAAUGACGGUACC